GACGAACGCUGGCGGCGUGCUUAACACAUGCAAGUCGAACGGAAAGGCCCUGCUUUUGUGGGGUGCUCGAGUGGCGAACGGGUGAGUAACACGUGAGUAACCUGCCCUUGACUUUGGGAUAACUUCAGGAAACUGGGGCUAAUACCGGAUAGGAGCUCCUGCUGCAUGGUGGGGGUUGGAAAGUUUCGGCGGUUGGGGAUGGACUCGCGGCUUAUCAGCUUGUUGGUGGGGUAGUGGCUUACCAAGGCUUUGACGGGUAGCCGGCCUGAGAGGGUGACCGGCCACAUUGGGACGGAGAUACGGCCCAGAAGCCUACGGGAGGCAGCAGUGGGGAAUAUUGCACAAUGGGCGGAAGCAUGAUGCAGCAACGCCGCGUGCGGGAUGAAGGCCUUCGGGUUGUAAACCGCUUUCGCCUGUGAAGAAGAGUGAGUGACGGUAAUGGGUAAAGAAGCACCGGCUAACUACGUG
rnacentral:rRNA from 1 species